AGCAGCCGCGGUAAUUCCAGCUCCAAUAGCGUAUAUUAAAGUUGCUGCAGUUAAAAGCUCGUAGUUGAAUUUCGGGAUCAAUAUGUUGGUCGUGCCUUGGUACGUACUAGCUCAUUGGUUUCUCCCUUCUGACGAACCAUGAUGUCAUUAAUUUGAUGUCAUGGGGAAUCAGGACUGUUACUUUGAAAAAUUGAGUGUUUAAAGCAGGCUCACGCUUGAAUACAUUAGCAUGGAAUAAUGAAAUAGGACAUUUGAUUUCUAUU
rnacentral:misc_RNA from 1 species